rnacentral:tRNA from 1 species
GCCCUUCUGGCACAACAGUUAAGUGCUGCUCAGCUGCUAACUGAAAGGUUGGUGGUUCAAAUCCACUCAGUGGCU